rnacentral:rRNA from 1 species
GAUGAACGCUGGCGGCGUGCCUAAUACAUGCAAGUCGAGCGAACAGACGAGAGUGCUUGCACUCUCUGCCGUUAGCGGAGGACGGGUGAGUAACACGUGGGUAACCUACCUAUAAGAAUGGGAUAACUUCGGGAAACCGGAGCUAAUACCGGAUAAUAUUUAGCUUCGCAUGAAGCAAUAGUGACAGACGGUUCUGCUGUCACUUAUAGAUGGACCCGCGGUGUAUUAGCUCGUUGGGGAGGGAACGGCUCACCAAGGCAACGAUACAUAGCCGACCUGAGAUGGUGAUCAGCCACACUGCGACUGAGCCACGGCCCAGACUCCUACGGGAGGCAGCGGUAGGGAAUCUUCCGCAAUGGACGAAAGUCUGACGGAGCAAUGCCGCGUGAGUGAAGAAGGUUUUCGGAUCGUAAAACUCUGUUGUAAGGGAAGAACAAGUACGUUAGUAACUGAACGUACCUUGACGGUACCUUACCAGAAAGCCACGGCUAACUACGUG